rnacentral:rRNA from 1 species
GGCGUAGGCGGAAAUGUAAGCCAGAUGUGAAAGCCCGGGGCUCAACCCCGGAACUGCAUUUGGAACUACAUUUCUUGAGGAUAGGCGGAGAAAACGGAAUUCCACAUGUAGCGGUGAAAUGCGUAGAUAUGUGGAAGAACACCGGUGGCGAAGGCGGUUUUCUAGCUUAUUCCUGACGCUAAGGCCCGAAAGCUAGGGGAGCGAACA